GUACUUGCUUCGGCAGCACAUGUACUAAAAUUGGAACGACACCGGGAAGAUUAGCAUGGCCCCUGCACAAGGACGACAUGCAAGCUCGUGAAAAGGAAAAAAAAAUA